CAGCUCCACUUUUAGCAAAAUUGAGAAAAAGAAAGACCACUACUGGUGGUCGGUAACAUAAACUCACUGUGUUCCAAACACCAGGUUAGCUUACCACAUUCCGAACAGUGCAAUUUUCAUGACGAAUAACAAAAAAAUUACUUCCAGAUCAGCUUUGGUUUUUGUGUGUGUGAUGUAUAAUUCCGUCCGUUUUCAUAAAAUAGCUUGGUAUGGGUCACAUACCCGAUUCAUUAUUCGGUGAGGCUUAGUGCGAGCUUGUCCAGAUACAAAUUUUGUGCUUGGACAGAAUAGUAGACUAGGCUAGCUAUAGCUACAGUCCUGAAUCACAACUGCUGUCUCGGGCUUUCCACCAGCUUUGCACGGUGAUCGGCAAGACAACAGGAAUGAGCUCACAAAAUGCCCAUGGCAAAAGAAAAGCUGCAGAAUGUGACUGGGUUGUUGACAGAAUAGCCCAGUUUAAAUCAUGGCAAAGUCUGACAAUAGGCUGAUGCAUUCUGUCAUACAUUAGUUUUCCACACAGCCUUAUUCCUAAUCGCCAGAUGCAGAUCGAGCCCGGAAUCGCUUACUAUCUGGAAACUUGUUCUGGCCCGGUUCUGGCCCACUAUACAUUUGGUCAAUGUCAUAAAAUCACUGUCAAUGCCAGAUGUCAAUGAUUUAGCCCAGCUCAGCACCACAAUUAAUUAUGCCUAAUGUUCUGGCCUACAUCUUUUAAUAAUCAUUGAAGAAACAUUGACAACACUACUUUCAAAAAAUCUAAAUGUGUCACUGUCCAGGGAAUUAUGGUGCUCACUGUAUGUUAAACCCCUGUUUAAUGCCAGCAUUGUGGUAAAUCAGUAGUCAAGUCCCAUCCAUCCAUCCAUCCAUCCAUUAUCUGAACCCGCUUAUCCUGAUCAGGGUCGCAGGGGGGCUGGAGCCUAUCCCAGCAUACAUUGGGCGAAAGGCAGGAAUACACCCUGGACAGGUCGCCAGUCCAUCGCAGGGCACACACACCAUUCACUCACACACUCAUACCUACGGGCAAUUUAGACUCUCCAAUCAGCCUAACGUGCAUGUCUUUGGACUGUGGGAGGAAACCGGAGUACCCGGAGGAAACCCACGCAGACACGGGGAGAACAUGCAAACUCCGCACAGAGAGGCCCCGGCCGACGGGGAUUCGAACCCAGGACCUCCUUGCUGUGAGGCGGCAGUGCUACCCACUGCACCAUCCGUGCCGCCUAGUAGUCAAGUCAAGUCAAGUCAAUCGCCAGCCUAGGAGAAUGUAUUAUCAGUCAAGGGAGGUGGAUUGCUUGUCUAAGCAGGCUGCAGAGAGCUCCGAUGAAGAUGAGGAAAGUGUGCUUAUGAUCAAGCCAAAGACUAGGUCAUCAGUAAAAGAAGGGAAGAUGGAGAAUGAGACUUUCUUGCAGAAGGUACGAGAAAUCUUAGAGGGUUUGGAGUCUCUAAAACGGAAGGUGUCUGACCUAGAGAACAAGCAGAAAAUGGUAUUAGGCGAUCCUUUGCCUGAAGAAGGCAUGAAGAAGGAUCUUCAGAUGCUAAGGGAUGAGAUCAAAACAAUAGCAGGACAGAUCCAGAAGAAUCUAAAAAGUAUUGAACCUAAGAAAGAAGAAGAAGAUGGGAAAUAUGUGCCUAUAAAUAUAAGGAUGCAGAGAACGCAACAUGGUGUCCUGUCUCGGGAGUUUGUGGAGUUGAUGGGCCGAUGUAAUACCAUUCAAGCCCAGUACAGAGAUCGCAAUGUCGAAAGGAUACAGAGGCAGCUCAAAAUCACUGGAAACAAUGUAACUGAUGAGGAAUUGGACAGGAUGAUUGAGAGUGGGCAGACUGAUGUCUUCAUACAGAAUAUUUUGAGUGAUGCUAAAGCCACCAAGCAAGCCCUGAAUGAGAUUGAGUCACGGCACGAUGAGAUCCUCAAACUGGAGAGAAGCAUUAGGGACCUCCAUUAUAUGUUCCAGUGCCUUGCGGGGGAGGUAGAGGCGCAGGGGGAGAUGGUGGACCGCAUUGAAGCCAACAUCAUGCACUCCACAAACUAUGUGGAGAAGGCUGUCGCUGAUACCCAUCAAGCUGCCCGCAACCAAAACAAAGCCCGCAAGCUCGCUUUUCAGAGGGAAGUCAGUGUCGCAGUUUUUAUGAACAGUCCGAAAGUGCCGCUCCACAUUUCCCUUCUUUGGAAUAGCGAUGGUAGAUUGGCAGAUCAGACAAACGCACUUCGAAUUUGACAUUGUGAAAAAAAAGUCCUCCUCCCAUUCCGGAUUGAAGUGAAGAAGUUGUGGAUUGCAUUGUGCUGCUGCAUUCUUCUGAUAAUUGUGGCCAUUGCCUUGGCUCUGUCCCUCUAAUGAAAUAACUGUUGGGGCUUGUACCAGUCUUAAUGCCUUCGGACUCACAGAUGAAAGGAGCAUCAACCUCACUGACAAAAAUGCCUUCUCUCUCUCUCUUAAUUACAGAAAAUAGAAAUUGAGACAAGAAAUCUGAAUUAAAAUGUUUUUAUUGUCAAGCUGUUCCUCAUUCAAAGUUCUUUACAUCCAACCCAGGUGCAGAUGUAUCACUCUCAGUAUGCACCAAGUUAUGCUCAGUAUGGCUACUCUCACAUAUUGACUACAGGCUAGUGUAUUGACUAUUACAGGGAUUUUACUGUAAAAUUGAUUACUUUUAUUUACUGUGGCAUCUUUGUUUCAACAUACAUUGAUGAGCCAAAACAUUAUGACCCGCCAUGGCAUGGACUCAACAAGACCUCUGAAGGUGCCCCGUUGUUUCUGGCACCAAGAUAUUACCAGCAGAUCCUUUAAGUCCUGUAAGUUGCAAGGUGGAGCCGCCAGGGUUUCCCAGCAGAACAUUGCCCAGAGCAUCACACUCCCGCCACCUGUGCAUACUUGUGCCAUCUCUUCCCCAGGUAAAUGGCAAACACAUACCAGCCAUCCAUACAAAGUAUCAGCAUGUUUGAACCUCUUUUUAUUCCUGUCUAAGUGUAUCUUGACCAUGUGAAUUAAGUAUCUCCAUCCUACACUGUUGUGCAGAUUUUGUUUUCUUGAAUGCUUUGUAUUUUGCCCUUAACACUGCAUGGUGGUCUAUUAUUCUUGAGCUAAACAAAGAAUCAUCCGGGCCCUAAAGGAGAGUGUCAGUGUGCUUAUGCAUAUCUGCCAUGGCAUUUCUUCUUUGUGGUGUUUUUUUUUUUUCUUUAAAGCCAUUUAAAAAAAAUAAUAAUAAUAAAAUAGUUUUUUGCA